UCCUGCAAGAGUUAGUGAUAUAAGUAGCCCUUAUAGCAGUGGAGGGACGGAACCUUAAACGUUUCUGAUAUUAAUGACAUGGCUGGAGAACCUCAGCCCCCUGAACUUGGAUCCUGGCAGAUUUCUUUAUCAAAUUUGGCUUGGAGCUGUGAAGUCAUUAAUUGAAAACACUGAAGGCAGAAGGUGUCUGGGGAUUACUGAAUACUAAAUUCUCUAGAUUCAUGGUGUUUGAUAUUAGAAGAGAUCCAAUACUGUUUUCUGGCAGGAGAGGAAAAACAACUUAGAACCAGCAAUUUAAGGACUGCUGCCACCAGAUUGGUCUAAUCCAGUUCCAGCUGCUCUACUGCGCCUGUGUGUGAGCAAGGGAGCUCAGCAGGGAAAGAGAAUAAAGCAUCCCGGUUCAGCCAGCAGCAGGACCUGGAGGAAUAUUCAAGCUCACGGGGGGAAAUAAAGUCUUCGUUAAAGAAAAGAAGUGUCUGCCAGCUAGGUCAACUGUGGUGACAUUAAACACAACGCCUUUGAGCCAGAGGAUCAUGAAGAGACGCUGUGAAAAAGGACAGUUCCCAAUACUCUCUCCAUCUAUACCAGCCUAGGGGAAAGAAAGGG